rnacentral:rRNA from 1 species
GAUCAUGGCUCAGGACGAACGCUGGCGGCGUGCCUAAUACAUACAAGUCGAACGANAGCGACCGGUGCUUGCACUGGUCAAUCUAGUGGCGAACGGGUGAGUAACACGUGGGUAACCUGCCCAUCAGAGGGGGAUAACAUUCGGAAACGGAUGCUAAAACCGCAUAGGUCCUUUAACCGCAUGGUUGAAGGAGGAAAAGAGGCGCAAGCUUCUGCUGAUGGAUGGACCCGCGGUGCAUUAG